rnacentral:tRNA from 1 species
GGAUAUAUAGCUCAGUGGCAUAAGCACCUGCCUGGCAAGUGGCAAGGUCCCAAGUUCAAUUCCUGGUAUAUUUC